GUUACACCUUUCAGCCACUUCAUAGCUUUAAAAUCACCAGUGUAUCAAAAAUCUCAUGAGAACAACUACUCUUCUCCAUGUAAUCAAAAUAAUUCAACCCCCCUUGAGAAUCAGGUUUAUUUUCAAAAUUUACAGACUUUGAGUUGUUUGCACUGAACAAAUCAAACAAAAAAAAUCAAAAUGAUUCAACUCCCUGAAUAAAAUCUCUCACAACAGCUCAAUUAUGC